rnacentral:misc_RNA from 1 species
GACCUCAAGGAGCAGGAUUCCAUCUUCAUCAGAAUGUAUUAGAGGAAAACUCGAAAUCAGAAGAUAUGCAAAUCAAGAUUAAAAAGAUAAAAGGUAGAAGGAAAUGAGUUAGUUGCUUAUUUUCAAGCAAGCAUACACUAGCCACACAACUUUACAAGAGAUAUUGGGGAAGGGAAACAAAAAGGUGAGGGAAAAGACUAAUAAUCAUGGAAGCAUGUGCCAAUUCCAAAGAUGUAAUAUAACGCUCAAUUCUGUAGCUCUAUACUUCAUUUGAUAUUGAAACUAGGUGACAAAAAGAAUGAACAUACCAU